AGUGGCGGACGGGUGAGUAACGCGUAAGAAUCUAACUUCAGGACGGGGACAACAGUUGGAAACGACUGCUAAUACCCGAUGUGCCGCAAGGUGAAACCUAAUUGGCCUGGAGAAGAGCUUGCGUCUGAUUAGCUAGUUGGUGGGGUAAAGGCCUACCAAGGCGACGAUCAGUAGCUGGUCUGAGAGGAUGAGCAGCCACACUGGGACUGAGACACGGCCCAGACUCCUACGGGAGGCAGCAGUGGGGAAUUUUCCGCAAUGGGCGAAAGCCUGACGGAGCAACGCCGCGUGAGGGAGGAAGGUCUUUGGAUUGUAAACCUCUUUUCUCAAGGAAGAAGUUCUGACGGUACUUGAGGAAUCAGCCUCGGCUAACUCCGUGCCAGCAGCCGCGGUAAUACGGGGGAGACAAGCGUUAUCCGGAAUUAUUGGGCGUAAAGCGUCCGCAGGUGGUCAGCCAAGUCUGCCGUCAAAUCAGGUUGCUUAACGACCUAAAGGCGGUGGAAACUGGCAGACUAGAGAGCAGUAGGGGUAGCAGGAAUUCCCAGUGUAGCGGUGAAAUGCGUAGAGAUUGGGAAGAACAUCGGUGGCGAAAGCGUGCUACUGGGCUGUAUCUGACACUCAGGGACGAAAGCUAGGGGAGCGAAAGGGAUUAGAUACCCCUGUAGUCCUAGCCGUAAACGAUGGAUACUAGGCGUGGCUU
rnacentral:rRNA from 1 species